GAUGAAGAACGUAGCGAAAUGCGAUACGUAAUGUGAAUUGCAGAAUUCAGUGAAUCAUCGAGUCUUUGAACGCACAUUGCGCCCCCUGGUAUUCCGGGGGGCAUGCCUGUCCGAGCGUCAUUGCUGCCCUCAAGCACGGCUUGUGUGUUGGGCCUCAGUCCUCCUCCCGGGGGACGGGCCCGAAAGGCAGCGGCGGCACCGCGUCCGGUCCUCGAGCGUAUGGGGCUUCGUCACCCGCUCUUGUAGGCCCGGCCGGCGCUUGCCGACACAUCAAUCUUUUUUCCAGGUUGACCUCGGAUCAGGUAGGGAUACCCGCUGAACUUAAGCAUAUCAAUAAGCGGAGGA
rnacentral:misc_RNA from 1 species